rnacentral:lncRNA from 1 species
GGCUAAGUAUUAUGGGUGUGAGGGCGCUAAACUACGAAAUCUGAUUGACUGGGCUUUUCUUUGAAAACAAAUAGCUGAUUUAUGGAUAAGUAAUUUUUAAGACAAAACGUAUUUCUAUUUAAAUGACUCCUCUUUGAUUAUUUUAACAAUUGGGUCAGACAGUUUUAUAAUUAUUGAUAAUCAGUUUAAUAACAAAUAUACUUGGUAGUUAAGCCUAACUCUUAGUCUAAGAGUAAUACUAAUAAUGCUAAAUUAGAUAAUGAGUUUGAGUGUAAUACUUAAGACAUUAUGAUUAACUUAUUAAAUUCAGUCAAUUGAUAAGUUGUUUACCAUUUAGUUAAACUGUACCCAACAUGUGUUAGUUUUCGUUUGUUUGUUUGUUGCCAAGUGCAAAGCUACACAAUAGGCUAUCUGUUCUGUGCUCAUAGCAGGAAUUGAAACCUGAUUCAAGGCUGUGAUUGUAACGUUAAAUAUGUCUUAGACUUGCUGCUGAUUUAUGUACACUUUCUACUACCGUAGUCGAUACCACAGUUUUUAAUAUUUUUCAUUAUUAUCACUAAUACUACUGUAAAUUGCAAUAUACAACUUGCAAGUUAUACAAACAUAAACUGAUGAAGUUGGUAUGCCACAUUUACAGUUAAGCUGAAAGCCAGAAAAAAACCCCAAAAAUACAACAACAAGCUAACAAACAAAAAAAUGCAGAGAGAGAAGAAGUAAUAUGUGUAGACUUGUAAUUACUAUGCUAUGACUGCUAAGUGUUGGUGAUAGACUGGCAACAUGGUUGCAUUUAACUUUAAAUUGUAUUUAUUUUGUAUAUUCAUUGUAUUAUAUACUUAUACAAUGGAGUUCCAUUACAAUCAAAGUAACAGUAUAAUUAUAACUGCAUGGAUAUUUCAGAUCAAGGAUGUCUCUGUAUUUAAAGCUCAUUCUUUGCCACUCUAGAAAUGGUUUCAACUUAUUUAAGCUAAGAAGAGGCUUGGAAUUGAACAGGUGAAGUUGAAAUGCAUUCUUAAUCUCCAGCUAUAAGAAGGACAGUAACCAUACUUAGAAGCAUGUAUAGUUCACAAGAUUUUGAAAACUGGGCAGGUCUUCAAAUCUCAAUUCCUACAGCUGCCAAAUGACAGGUUAGGUAGUAGAGAUGGUGGGAAAUACACUACCUUGUGAUUUGUCUUUGUCAGAUGUUUAUAUUGAUUAUGAAUGGAAUUCUACAACAUAUAUGGUUCACACUGGGACUCCAAAAGUUAUCCCCAGACAGAGAAAAGGGAGACUUCUUCGGGAUGAAAAAGGAAGACCUAUGUGUUCCAUUUGUGGAAGAUCUUUUUACGACAGAAGCAACCUUUAUCGUCAUAAGAAAACACAUAAUUGAAAUGUCUAGACUUUUCACUUCCAUAAUAAAUUAAUUUAGUACAAAUAACUGUUGUAUGUUUUUGAUUCAUUGUACUUAGAUUACCCUACAUGAUAGAAUAAGAUAUUUUACAUGCUGAUCUCGGGUACAUUGUUGAGUAUAUUUGUACAUUUAGUAUAUAAGCAUUUAUUUUUUUCUGCAGAAGUAAUUUAAUCAAUAAGAUUUACAUAAUCUGAGAAGAAUAAAAAAAAUAUAUAUAUAUAUAUGAUCAAUGUUAGUUCAUGUACAUACAUAUUUUUAACAAAACACAAAUUACCACAUUGUUUAGUGUGAUAAAGUCGAAUGUUCACAGCAAACAUUUUGAUUUUCAGAA